rnacentral:piRNA from 1 species
UACCUCAGAGAUGUCGCUUGUCCUGGUGGU